CUCUGAACACUCUGACUACUGUUUGAUAAGAGGGAUGGAAGAAACCCACACGGCAUGAAUACAGGAACAGGUAAACAGCUGAGCCGUAAAAGUUUCUCUCCAGGCAUGUUUUCAACAAAAUGCCAUCACACACUGUCUGGUGAUACAUGCUGCUACCCAGAUGGAACAAAACGGGUGAUGACUUUGUGAAACAGCCACCGGAUCACAUGGAAGUGGACACCGCCUAACUGCAG